AAAGAGCAUUCCCUCCACGAGCGAGGAGACACCAUUCGAGAAGCUAUCUUCAGAUACUGCUUUAAUCCUAAGAUUUCACAACAUAACACACUGGCACUACAAGAACUAAAUAUGCACAGUGUAUUAACAGGGUGACGAAAUGUGAACGAAAUGCGGAUUGAAGAAAUUUUUGGAUGUCUUCCAUCGUAACACUUGGAAAAUCUGCCUCAAAUGUUUUCAACCGGAAAUGACACAGCCUAUUUAUAGCGACGCAGGUCAUCGUCGUCCUCGGCACAUCAGACAACACACAGAAGAUCCUUCGUUUAAGCCACUCAAUAAUACAUAUGGAGCCGCCCGGGGGACACAGACGGCGAUGCACAUUUGGACAGAAAGGCAACCUGGCUGGAAAGGAGUUUGAAUGCUGAAAGAAAUGGAAUUACGUAUUGGAAUUACAGGAAGUGAGCAAAGAUGAGUUCACUCAGGAUACAGCACGAGUUCUCCUUGCCGUCCGUUUUUUUGUUGCAGUGUUCUUACUUUAGCUCUAAUUUUUUUUAAAGGUCCUGCUUCUAUAUGUUUCGAUAAGAUCAAUAAGGGCCCGAAUCUGUGAAUAUGGCUUGCACUGAAAGGUACCUACUGGGCCAUCUCCCAAAGCCUGAAGCAUGCCUAGCUUCAGCAUAUCAUUUCCCCAAGGCGAUUUCAACAUAUAUGUCAACUGCUAAGGAUACAGUUUGCAUCCAAAGAUGAUAUCAGUCAUGUUUGUAAAACAUGACUUACAAAGAACCCCUGAACCUCUGAAAUGCAAGGGAACUUUUUAUUAACUGCAUUAUUAUGACUUAAUGCUCUGUAUAAGGCCCUUACAGUCUCUCGCAUUAACCCCAGCAUAUGACACUAAAAUCCUGUAAGGGUGAGUGGGUUUGCCUAAACUUCAUGUUCCAUUGUUUUGAAGUGAUCCAGACAUUCUUUGAAUUUCUGAGCCUGGGGUUUGCCUAAGAUGGAUUUAUAGUUUUUCUCUCUUUUUUUAUUCUGCAGUAAGAACAUUUGUAGGCAAACAGAUAAUUUCUGUUACCAUUCAAAGGCUGCUUUUUUCCCUGCCGAAAGUGACCCGUUGGGAUUUUUCUCCAUCUGUGGCAGGCUGACCCAGUUUAGCCCACGGCCACAUCCAACUGUUCCGCGUCCCAAACAUAUGUGCUCUGGCAGGGGGAUAAGCGAUCAUCACGGCGAGAGGCUGUGGAACGCGCGCUGGAGAUAUGACACUGGACCCGCCGAGCUUCUGCCUUCCUUCAGCAUAUGUCACCGGCACCCCCAGGAAUUGCAGACUGGAAACGGAUACAAGAAACAGCUCUGCAGAGAGGCUGAAAUCAUUUGUAUAGGGCUGUGUAUGUGUGUGUGUGUCUGUGUGUGUGUUUGGCCUUGACAUACAAGGAUCACACUAUUGAAAGCGUACUCCCCUGACUGACCUGUGACACUGUGAGGAGGGGGAGCUCUGGCAGAUGGUAAUAUCUGGCAGAAAAAGCAAGGAAAUCGACUGGGUAGUAGAGCAGCUUACUGGCUCGAACAUCGGUACUGGACCUUUUCGCACAUGCCCUGUAUGCUGUGUGUGGAUGGUGUCAGUGCAGAGGGCUAAGGCCACGGGGGACCUGGGUGUGUGUGACACACAUACGGGAGAGCAUGCUGUUAACGGGGACAGGCCGUGGCCGCUGUUCGGGGUCCUCCGCGGCCUCGUUUAUGGAGCGUGUAACUCGGCUGCCUGUGACCUUACCCAAUGACGCGACUCAAUCUGAAUGGAAAUGGCGCGAGGGUGCCGGGCUGACGGCUGGCGCCACGGCAACACUGAGGGAGAGAUUAAAGGUGACUUGAUGAAUGGAGGUGAUGGUGAUAACAGUGAAGGUGAGCACUCCAGUUCCCCCCCAGCCUGCAUGCUGACUUUGGGCCUGCUUCACUGGCUAUUAAAGGUUUGAAGGCAGGCUGUGCCUGCUGAUAGGUUUCCCACUAAUGAGUUAUUGAUCCCUUUCUUUUCCUUCAACUUCCAUCCAAGGCAACAGAAACAAUCCGAUUGGAAAAGGCAGACAAUUAAGACUUUCGCAAUCUGACUUUCAGACAGUGUAGUCUUUUAGAACUGGGGCAUUACUUCAGGCCAUGAUAAAGAUCUGCCUUAAGAACCAUUUUAGGCUUUGGGCUUUUCAGGUUCAGGCUUACUGCAAUCCACACAUAUCUCCCAUGCUAUAUUUCUUGGAUCACUUAUUAAACUCUCAAAGUUC